CCGUUCUUUUCGUGUGGGUGGGGUCACCGCUCCCUUCUUGUGGGUGUGGCCAAUGGUGUCCGCGCCCUCACAGAGCCUGUUGUUGUGUUUGCCUGUGGCUAUGUCUUCUCUGUUACUGCACAUAAGAUACUAUUGGCAGAUAUUAUCAGAGAGCAGUAUAAAUAUUUCUGCAGGCCCAUAUGUGUUUGCAGGGCUGGUUUAAUACGUGGGCAAUGGGUGGCUAACUGGCUACUAAAAACAUGCAUACCUCAGUGCUAUCUUCAGAGGCCAAACCAGUCACUUAUUUCAACUGGACCUCUUUGUGUCUCCUUUUUAGCCUCGGUGACAGUCCUGCAAGUCCCGUUUACCAAUUUGUUUAUAGACUGGCUAAGCAGAUCCACACAUUACUUCAUACACGUAUACAGUAUUUAUCAAGUUAUUAAUGCAAGGUAAAGGGCUGUAUUACGCUUUCUAAGGCUGUCUAAGAUGCUUAACGUGCAAUAAUAUUUUGUAUGUGAAAACUGUCUACAUAGCCUGCUACGAGGGUGAGGUGUACUUGCUAAUUAUGCUUGGCUUUCCGUCUCUUGUCAAAGAAACAUACUAUAAUAAUAAUAAUAGUAUUAAUGCUAUAUCAGGAUGGAGUUACACACCCUUUGCUGCAGUAUGAGGAGAAUCUGCAGGGAAGAUCAUCGUCUCCCUCUCAUGGUUGCUCAUGACAUCUUGCUGUGCUACAGUACACCAGCAUUAUCCUGACAUCUACAUUAAUAUCCGCAAAAUGUAUUUUGGAGUCAGACAUCUCCAGUUAGUCUACACGGAAUUAGAAACAGAAAGUGGCAGCAAAAGCUAAGCACUUUUUCCUUACUGUUCAAUCAUUGGUCAGUUGUUUAUGUCUCACUAAAUAUUCCUAAAGCACUUCCUCUUCUGGUAAUUAGCAUCGGUGCUGAGCUUGUGGUUCACAAAUGCAGCAUUUUUACGCAAUAAAGAAAUACCAAACCUG